GACGAACGCUGGCGGCGUGCUUAACACAUGCAAGUCGAGCGGACAGACCCUGCUUUUGUUGGGUGCUCGAUUGGCGAACGGGUGUGUAACACGUGUGUAACCUGCCCUUGACUUUCUGAUAACUUCAGGAAACUGGGGCUAAUACCGGGUAGGAUCUCCUGCUCCGCGGUGUGGGUUGGAAAGAUUCGGCGGUUGGGGAUGGACUCGCUGCUUAUGCGCUUGUUGGUGGAGUAGUGGCUUACCAAGGGUUUGACGGGUAGCCGGCCUGAGAGGGUUGCCGGCGACCAUGGGCCUGCGAUACGGCCCAGAAGCCUACGGGAGGCAGUAGGGGGGAACAUUGCACAAUGGGCGGAAGCCUGAUGCAGCAGCGCCGCGUGCGGGAUGACGGCCUACGGGUUGUAAACCGCUUUCGCCUGUGACGAAGCGUGAGUGACGGUAAUGGGUAAAGAAGCACCGGCUAACUACGUG
rnacentral:rRNA from 1 species